UCCCUGAUAGCUCAGUUGGUAAAGAAUCCACCUUCAAAGUGGGAGACCUGGGUUCGAUUCCUGGGUUGGGAA
rnacentral:tRNA from 1 species